UCUUAAGAAAUCCUAAAGAAAUAUUAGAAUAAUUACAAAUAUAUCUUAAAUAAAUUUCAACUAAGUCCUAAUUUAAUUCUAAUUGAAAUCUUAGUGGAUUUCAAUCAAAUCCUAAGCCAAAUCCUAUAUCUUAAAUAAAUCCUAAAUCCUAAAUCAAAUCCUAUAUCCUAGUCUAAUUUUAAAUCCUAACCAAACCUUAAUCAAAUCCUAAAUUCUAAUCCAACUCCAACCCUAAAGCAACUCAACCUAAUCCAAAUAUAAUUUAAAACCUCAAUAUCUAUUGAUUAAGUCAUUGAUCUUGCUUAAAAUUUUAUACACUUUUCAACAACUAGAUUAGCAACAAGCACAUGAAAUUUAAAGAUAAUCGUACUUACGAA
rnacentral:lncRNA from 1 species